GACCUAAGCCAAAGUAGGUCACUUAACUGACUGAGCCAUCCAGGUGCCCCUAAAAUAAAAAAUAUUUUUAAAAAUUCCUUUGACCCACAUAAAGAAAGAAUGUGACAUUCACAAAAAUAAUGUGACAUUCAUGUAGUGGUAACUUGAAAUCCUUUAAAAUAGUUGUUCUGUAGUUUAACAUUAAUUUGGUUUUUCUUUUUUAACAUGCUUAUGUUAUGAGAAAAAACUUCUGUCAAGCCUGAAAAAAGGGAAUGAAUUCUUCUUUUGCCUGAGGGUCCUGUCCUUCCCUGUGCUGAAACCACAUAAGUGGCUGGACUUCAGUGGGAGCCAAGAAGAGUUGAGAAGGUCUGACUAACCAAAGAACGUGAGUCUGCUAGCAGAAGAAAGUGAUGGCAGAGAUGCCAAGCAGAUAAAAGCAAUAAGUACUUCAGUAAUUGAGGAUCCCACAAAGAAACCACCCAUCAGGGACAACUGACCCUGUGAGGCAGCUACCCUCAGCACAACUUACAAAACAGCCAGGAAGGAAGUCAUACACCUGUCCCAAAAGCAGAAACCAGGCCAAACAGAAAAUUGAUACCAAAAACUGUUACCUACGGCAGCAAUUUGAACAAACAAUGGGAAAAGUUCUACCAAGACAAAGUUUUGAAUAAGAAGACCCAUGACUCUGACUUCCUCUCAACCCUGUGCAGGAUGCUGAAACACUGAACUGGUGAUUUAAACCCACAUAAUGAAGGACUCCCACAGCAGCCAGGCCAGCCAUCUCACCACUGGCCUGAUGACUCCCAGCUCCCAGGGCUCAACUGAAACCUCAGAAAUAACUCUCUCUGCACAGCUGAAGGGACACCUGGAACACGUGGUGAUUCCCAAAAAGUGUUUUAAAAAUUCCUCUCCAAUUGCAUCAGAAGAUACUUAUCUAUUAAAGGAAAUGCAAAAAUCAAGCAGAGGAUGCUUAAGAUGGCAAAAAAAAAAAAAAAAAAAGGAAAGAAAGAAAGAAAGAAAAGGAAACAAGAAUCUAUAGAGUACCAUCACACAACCUUACCUAAUAUUUUGCAAAAUGUCUUGGAGAAAAUCAGAGACAUCCAGAUGUAAAAAUGUAGAGAACACUAAAAUGAACACCUGUGUCCUCACUACCAAGGAGUGAAGAUUGUUAAUAUUUUCAUAACAUCUUUUUUACCUAUUUAAGUAAAAUAAACGAAAUAUCACAGA